rnacentral:rRNA from 1 species
UGCCUACGGGACGCAGCAGUGGGGAAUAUUGCACAAUGGGGGAAACCCUGAUGCAGCGACGCCGCGUGAGUGAAGAAGUAUUUCGGUAUGUAAAGCUCUAUCAGCAGGGAAGAAAAUGACGGUACCUGACUAAGAAGCCCCGGCUAACUACGUGCCAGCAGCCGCGGUAAUACGUAGGGAGCGAGCGUUAUCCGGAAUUAUUGGGUGUAAAGGGUGCGUAGACGGGAAAGCAAGUUAGUUGUGAAAUCCCUCGGCUUAACUGAGGAACUGCAAUUAAAACUACUUUUCUUGAGUGCAGGAGAGGG